CAUAUUGUUGCAGUUAAAACGCCCCGUAGUCUGAAUUGGCCAGCAAUGGUCGUACGUAUUUUUACGUUCACUGUGAACAAAUCAGGACGCUUAGAGUAUGGCCACAUGAAUGACUCAGCGCAGUAUGAAGUCUUUGUUUUCUUCCGAAAACAAGCUCAAUGAGAGCCAUCGGGGGUAGAUCUAUCUCAUGACGAGUGGUGGAAUACUUUGACUCAUGAGAGAGAAGCUGAGGCGAAGGCGUCUACCUAGAGGGUUUCUGUCGAUCAAGGGCGAGAGUAGGAGUAUCCAACAGGAUUAGAGACCCUGGUAGUUCCUACCUUAAACGAUGCCGACAGGAGUUUGUCAUUUGUUAAUGGCAGAAUCUUUGGAGAAAUCAUAGUUCUUGGGCUCUGGGGGAACUACGACCGCAAGGCUGAAACUUGAAGGAAUUGACGGAAGGGCACACCAGGGGUGGAGCCUGUGGCUUAAUUUGAAUCAACACGGGGAAACUUACCAGGACCAGAUGUUUUUUAUGACUGACAGGCUUCGGGUCUUUCAGGAUAUUGUUUUUGGUGGUGCAUGGCCGUUGGUGGUGCGUGGGUUGACCUGUCUAGCGUUGAUUCAGCUAACGAGCGAGAUUAUCGCCAAUUAUUUACUUUGCCGAAGUCCUUCGGUUAAAGUUCUAAUUGGGACUCCCUGCGAUUUUAGCAGGUGGAAGAGGGUAGCAAUAACAGGUCCGUGAUGCCCUUUAGAUGCUCUGGGCUGCACGCGUGCUACAAUGUUAGGAUCAAUAGGACUGCGAGCCUGAGAGGGUGCGCUACUCUUAUAAUCCCUAACGUAGUUGGGAUUGACGUUUGUAAUCAGCGUCAUGAACCAGGAAUCCCUUGUAAAUGUGUGUCAACAACGCACGUUGAAUACGUCCCUGCCCUUUGUACACACCGCCCGUCGCUCCUACCGAUUGGAUGACUC
rnacentral:ncRNA from 2 species